rnacentral:rRNA from 1 species
GACGAACGCUGGCGGCGUGCUUAACACAUGCAAGUCGAGCGGUAAGGCCCUUUCGGGGGUACACGAGCGGCGAACGGGUGAGUAACACGUGGGUGACCUGCCCUCAGCUCUGGGAUAAGCCUGGGAAACCGGGUCUAAUACCGGAUAUGACUCCAUGACGCAUGUUGUGGGGUGGAAAGCCUUGUGCGGCUGAGGAUGGGCCCGCGGCCUAUCAGCUUGUUGGUGGGGUGANGGCCUACCAAGGCGACGACGGGUAGCCGGCCUGAGAGGGCGACCGGCCACACUGGGACUGAGACACGGCCCAGACUCCUACGGGAGGCAGCAGUGGGGAAUCUUGCGCAAGUGGGCGAAAGCCUGACGCAGCGACGCCGCGUGA